rnacentral:tRNA from 1 species
GGCCGACCUGGCGCGGGCCGAGGGGUGCGCCGUGUCGGCGGUGCAGCCGACGCGGGAGGGCGUGCUGCGGUUCUACGGCGCGGUCGGCGGCC